rnacentral:rRNA from 1 species
AUCGCAGGGUGCAAUUUUGGGUGGGUUUGGAAAGCCGGCAUUCCUCUAAAGAUCGAAAUCUUUAUCUGGCAGUUGUUCCAGGAUUCUAUUCUUACUCGAGAUGUGAUGAAAAAAAGGGGGUGGAAAGGGAACCCGAAGUGUUCAUUCUAUGGGGAGCGUGAAACUUCCCAACAUCUCUUUUUUACCUGUCCUGUAGCUAAGGUGACCUGGAGAGUUACUGCUUGCAUGCUCGACACUGAUUUGUGUCCGAACAGCUUGUGGCAGGCUUAUUCUUGGUGUUAUGUAUACUUCCCGAAUGGGGAGAUCUUUUAUACAGUUGGCAUAUCUGCGCUUUGCUGGGCUAUCUGGACCUGUCGCAAUAGUGCUACGUUCGAAUCUAAGCAAUUGAAAACGCCUUUUGAAUGUUGUUUCUCUAUGUGCGUUUUUCUCUGUUAUUGGGCAGGUUUGUUGAAGCAGGAGGAUGCGGUGGAUCUGCGAGCAGGAGUAAACAUGUUGAAGAACAGUGCAUCGAGGAUGAUGCGCAUCUACACUACGACCAAAGACUGA